GAUGAACGCUGGCGGCGUGCCUAAUACAUGCAAGUCGAGCGAACAGACGAGGAGCUUACUCCUCUGACGUUAGCGGCGGACGGGUGAGUAACACGUGGAUAACCUACCUAUAAGACUGGGAUAACUUCGGGAAACCGGAGCUAAUACCGGAUAACAUGUUGAACCGCAUGGUUCAACAGUGAAAGACGGUCUUGCUGUCACUUAUAGAUGGAUCCGCGUCGCAUUAGCUAGUUGGUAAGGUAACGGCUUACCAAGGCAACGAUGCGUAGCCGACCUGAGAGGGUGAUCGGCCACACUGGAACUGAGACACGGUCCAGACUCCUACGGGAGGCAGCAGUAGGGAAUCUUCCGCAAUGGGCGAAAGCCUGACGGAGCAACGCCGCGUGAGUGAAGAAGGUCUUCGGAUCGUAAAACUCUGUUAUUAGGGAAGAACAAAUGUGUAAGUAACUAUGCACGUCUUGACGGUACCUAAUCAGAAAGCCACGGCUAACUACGUGCCAGCAGCCGCGGUAAUACGUAGGUGGCAAGCGUUAUCCGGAAUUAUUGGGCGUAAAGCGCGCGUAGGCGGUUUUUUAAGUCUGAUGUGAAAGCCCACGGCUCAACCGUGGAGGGUCAUUGGAAACUGGAAAACUUGAGUGCAGAAGAGGAAAGUGGAAUUCCAUGUGUAGCGGUGAAAUGCGCAGAGAUAUGGAGGAACACCAGUGGCGAAGGCGACUUUCUGGUCUGUAACUGACGCUGAUGUGCGAAAGCGUGGGGAUCAAACAGGAUUAGAUACCCUGGUAGUCCACGCCGUAAACGAUGAGUGCUAAGUGUUAGGGGGUUUCCGCCCCUUAGUGCUGCAGCUAACGCAUUAAGCACUCCGCCUGGGGAGUACGACCGCAAGGUUGAAACUCAAAGGAAUUGACGGGGACCCGCACAAGCGGCGGAGCAUGUGGUUUAAUUCGAAGCAACGCGAAGAACCUUACCAAAUCUUGACAUCCUCUGACCCCUCUAGAGAUAGAGUUUUCCCCUUCGGGGGACAGAGUGACAGGUGGUGCAUGGUUGUCGUCAGCUCGUGUCGUGAGAUGUUGGGUUAAGUCCCGCAACGAGCGCAACCCUUAAGCUUAGUUGCCAUCAUUAAGUUGGGCACUCUAAGUUGACUGCCGGUGACAAACCGGAGGAAGGUGGGGAUGACGUCAAAUCAUCAUGCCCCUUAUGAUUUGGGCUACACACGUGCUACAAUGGACAAUACAAAGGGUAGCGAAACCGCGAGGUCAAGCAAAUCCCAUAAAGUUGUUCUCAGUUCGGAUUGUAGUCUGCAACUCGACUACAUGAAGCUGGAAUCGCUAGUAAUCGUAGAUCAGCAUGCUACGGUGAAUACGUUCCCGGGUCU
rnacentral:rRNA from 1 species